rnacentral:rRNA from 1 species
AGAACGAACGCUGGCGGCAGGCUUAACACAUGCAAGUCGAACGCCCCGCAAGGGGAGUGGCAGACGGGUGAGUAACGCGUGGGAAUCUACCUGGUUCUACGGAAUAACUGAGGGAAACUUCAGCUAAUACCGUAUACGCCCUAAGGGGGAAGAUUUAUCGGUGCCAGAUGAGCCCGCGUUGGAUUAGCUAGUUGGUGGGGUAAUGGCCUACCAAGGCGACGAUCCAUAGCUGGUCUGAGAGGAUGAUCAGCCACACUGGGACUGAGACACGGCCCAGACUCCUACGGGAGGCAGCAGUGGGGAAUAUUGGACAAUGGGCGAAAGCCUGAUCCAGCCAUGCCGCGUGAGUGAUGAAGGCCUUAGGGUUGUAAAGCUCUUUCAGUGGGAAGAUAAUGACGGUACCCACAGAAGAGCCCCGGCUAACUUCGCGCCAGCAGCCGC